rnacentral:rRNA from 1 species
GAUGAACGCUGGCGGCGUGCUUAACACAUGCAAGUCGAACGGAAAGGCCCAAGCUUGCUUGGGUACUCGAGUGGCGAACGGGUGAGUAACACGUGGGUGAUCUGCCCUGCACUUCGGGAUAAGCCUGGGAAACUGGGUCUAAUACCGGAUAGGACCACAUUUUGGAUGGUGUGGUGGAAAGUUUUUCGGUGUGGGAUGAGCUCGCGGCCUAUCAGCUUGUUGGUGGGGUAAUGGCCUACCAAGGCGUCGACGGGUAGCCGGCCUGAGAGGGUGUACGGCCACAUUGGGGCUGAGAUACGGGCCAGACUCCUACGGGAGGCAGCAGAGGGGAAUAUUGCACAAUGGGCGCAAGCCUGAGGCAGCGACGCCGCGUGGGGGAUGACGGCCUUCGGGUUGUAAACUCCUUUCGCUAGGGACGAAGCGUUUUUGUGACGGUACCUGGAGAAGAAGCACCGGCUAACUACGUG